ensembl:lncRNA
UAAUACUUUAAAAUGGGAGAAAUAUUGAUACACACACACAUACACAGAGCCUAAAGGGAACAGUAUUUGUGCCAUGGAGUGUUAACAAGAAUCUGAGGUCCAUAUUACAAAAGCUGCUAAAAUCAUAAAAGGUUGCAGAAUUGUAAUAAAUGAUGAAUAUGAAUUAGUGGUCUGUGAUAGUGUAUUAAUUUGUAGGGAAAAAACACAUGUUGCCCAAGGUGUAAUUGAACCCACGACCUUUGGGUUGCAGACCUGUGUCAUU